rnacentral:piRNA from 1 species
UAGAGAGACCUUUGUCCUUACUGCUUCA